GGAUGGCUCAGUUGGAAGAGCACGAGACUCUUAAGCUCAGGGUUGUGGGUUCAAGCCCCACGUUGGGCA